UUUGGCCAGAGCAGCUGAGAAACUGAGUUUGCCAUUUGCACAGGAGAGUGUGGGAGGAACCGGCUUUGGAGAUGGAAAUCUGUCCAGUAGGUGGCUGUACAUGAGAGUCUGAAGUCUGGAGACAGGAUGGGGCUCGGGAGCUAAUUUGGGGAGCUAUGAUACAUAAUGGUAUUUAAAGGAUGGUGAGAUCGUGUCCAGGAAGUGGACAAAAAGAAGAGGUACAAAGACAAGCCUACAUCAUUCAGGCGACAGGACAGGGCAGAGGACCAGGGCAGUGGUGCCCUCGGCCACUCCCUGCCUUGCCUCCUCCUCCUCAUACCCCUGAGCCUUGGCUCCCUGUAGCUGAAGCUCCCGUGUCUCUGAUGAGCAGGACUCCAGCCUGGCGCAAUGAGUUCUUGCAGAUUCUACCCAGCCACGCUCGAUCACAGGGAAAUGUUUAUGGCAAAGGCUGCAAGACUCCAUCUGAAGAAGGUCAAUAAGGCCACUCGGAGCUGAGUGCAGCCAGCGUCCCUAGCAAGACCCAGAGUGAGUGGGAAGGCAGGCCCAACAAGGAGUGAGGGACUCUUCCCACCAGGCUGAGAAGCGAACCAGAGACCUAGAGGAGCCCAGCAUUGGACUAGGUGUUCCUCCUCAUCCCCAUUGCUCUUCUCAACAGCAGACUCAACUGGAGAGGGGGCAGGAUGGAGAGUGGGGUCAUAACAUGGCUCUUCAAGGUGCUGGAAAAGUCAUCUGGGAGGCCACCAAACACCAACAGAUCCAAGUCUCGUUGUACAGAUGGGAAAACAAGGCCGGAAGAGGGGAGAGGCACACAGCCAGUGUGUGCUGGGGCAGGAAGAAUGGCAGAGGAAUGUGUUAUGAGCAAAGCCAAAAGACUGAGGCCCACAAGUGCUGUGACGCCCACCCCACCCAUCCUGGCUGUUUCCUUCCUUCCUGCACUGAGACCUGUCUCUCCUCUGGAGACUUCCUCAGCUCUGCUCCAACACUUACCCUCAACUAUUCCCUGGGCCUGGCCUCAGUCUCCCAGGCCUGGCUUCUCUGCUCUCAUCUCCUUCCGACCCUUCAUCACCUUUGUUCUCCAGCACGAAGGCUCCUCCAGCCCCCCACCUCCUCUUCACAUUUCCCACUUCCUAUCUCCUCUUCCUUCUCCUUGGCGUUAUCACUCACACACCAUGGACUGUGCAUGAAUAUAAACGCCAAAGAACAAGAUCUUCCUUGUGUCUAUAUCCUUGAAGGUAGAUGGUGCCUGCCACAGUACAGACUUUCAACCAGCGACUACUGAGAGAAUGGAUAGGCCUGAUCUGUGGUUGGGGUCAACGAUCUUGUGAGCCUGACACUGAGCAGAAACUGAAAGGUGUUACAGGAGCCAGCCAUGGUUCCACAGGCCUGGAAUCUCAGCAGGAGGGUUAUCAGUUAGAGGCCAGCCUGAGCUACAUAAAGAGACCAAGUCUCAAAACAGCAAACCAAAAGCUCGUUUCAGGGCAGGUGUGAUGGGGCUCAGCAGGUAAAAGCACCUGCAUGGAGUGGAUGGGGAAAAGAAUCAAUAAACAGAAGGAUAAGACAGACCCUCAUCCCUGGAGCCUGUGUAGACCUCUCAUAUGUUCAUGCUCACAAGACCCCUGGGGAGAAGGAGCUUGCCCGGGGUCAAGAGGCUGGAGCCGUGUAGCGGCCAACCCUUUCCUGGUCACCUCCAGCUCUGGAUCACUUGGCUUUCAUCCUCCUAGCAUGGGACACCAGUGAUGGCGAAGAGACACAGCUGGAGCAUUCCGGUCAAGAAUACCUGGAGAGUAAAUGUCAUGGCAACCCACUGAGGACAUGGGCCAAGUCACAGGCGCUCAGGCAGGACCCCAAAUUUGCAGUGGCAGAGACACGUCUUGGUACAAUCCCAUCCAGGAUUCAUCCGUCCUCUUUAUCUGUCACCGGGAACUUGAGGUGAGUCACCCUCAUCACUGACCUCAUCCAGGAAGCCCCGCCACAAGGUCAUGUAUUCAGGGAGAUAGGUGGCAAAGAUGCCUGCCGUGGCCUUGGGACCUGUCACCAACAGUUCUCCGCUUGCAAAAUUGUAAAUGGCACCUGUGGAGACAAAGACAGGAGCCUGAGGAGUAAGCGGCUGGAAAUUCUUCAACAGCUUUACUAGGCUAGGUUUUUUGUUUGUUUGUUUGUUUGUUUGUUUGUUUGUUUCUCAUCCUUCCAGAACUAGAUACCAAGAUGGCAUCUA